GUCUAUGGCUAUACCACCCUGAAUGCACCCAAUCUUGUCUGAUCUCAGAAGCUAAGCAGGGUCAAGCCUGGUUAGCACUUGGAUGGGAGUCUGCCAGAACAGUCCUUUCUACUCUAUUUU
rfam:Homo sapiens chromosome 11, GRCh38 reference primary assembly.